UACGGAAGGCAGCAGUGGGGAAUAUUGCACAAUGGGCGAAAGCCUGAUGCAGCUAUGCCGCGUGUAUGAAGAAGGCCUUAGGGUUGUAAAGUACUUUUCAUCGGGGAGGAAAAACAAAACUAAUAAUUUUAUUUCUUGACGUUACCCGAAAAAGAAGCACCGGCUAACUCCGUGCCAGCAGCCGCGGUAAUACGGAGGGUGCUAGCGUUAAUCAGAAUUACUGGGCGUAAAGAGCACGUAGGUGGUUUUUUUAAAGUCAGAUGUGAAAUCCCUGGGCUUAACCUAGGAACUGCAUUUUGAAACUGAAAUACUAGAGUAUCGUAGAGGGAGGUAGAAUUCUAGGUGUAGCGGUGAAAUGCGUAGAUAUCUGGAGGAAUACCUGUGGCGAAAGCGGCCUCCUAAACGAAUACUGACACUGAGGUGCGAAAGCGUGGGGAGCAAACAGGGAUUAGAUACCCGU
rnacentral:rRNA from 1 species